CCCUGGGUCAACCCGGGAACUGCGCUUGAUACUGGUGCGCUUGAAUCCAGGAGAGGUUGGUGGAAUUCCCAGUGUAGAGGUGAAAUUCGUAGAGAUUGGGAAGAACACCGGUGGCGAAGGCGGCCAACUGGACUGGUAUUGACGCUGAGGCGCGAAAGCGUGGGGAGCAAACAGGAUUAGAUACCCUGGUAGUCCACGCUGCAAACGAUGUGUGCUAGCCGUUGGGGCUCUUAGAGCUUCGGUGGCGUCGCUAACGCUUUAAGCACACCGCCUGGGGAGUACGGUCGCAAGAUUAAAACUCAAAGGAAUUGAC
rnacentral:rRNA from 1 species